rnacentral:lncRNA from 1 species
AACAAAUAUAGUUUUACUGGCCAUAGCUGCAUUAGUCAUUUACAUAUUGUUUAUGAUUGCUUUCAUUCUACAGAGCUGGUUACCAGUAGCAGACAUGUCCUGAACCAUAAACUUAACUCUUCCUCUCAGGGUGAAGAGAAAUGGCAGUCCCCAAUGCUUCUUUAAUCUCAGUUAGUCACGGGCAUACUUAACUCUCCUUCACGCAAAGCUUUUAUUUAUUCGACAAAUACUUGCUGAGCACACCCCUUUUAAAACAAUGUUUAACUCUGUCUCUGUGGUUAGGGAAGUGCAUUCAGUGCCUGCCCUCAGCUCUCAUCCUUUGGUUGCGAUGGCCUUUGGUGGCUGUGAGGGGAGAAAGGGAAGAGGUCCCAUCCUUGGGUGCUUAGUGCAGCGAGGAGGCUUUGGAGUUAGCGAUUACCAAACACUUUUGUGUGGGUGCGGAUUGGGCUACCGGACUGCCUUGAAUCUCUGCUGCUUGCGCCCCGAAAAGGAAGAGGAUCAGUACCACGUGACCACCGGCGGCAAGCUCCGUUAGGAAAAGAUGUGAAGGAGGUCUCCGACUCUGAGUCAGUGGCCCUGGGCUCCAGAGCAAAGUAAGCAUGGGAAUGCAUGGAAUUUAUUUGUAGUUUGCAGGAAAUAAAGUGUUAUUGUUAGGGACGUUUCCUGUCA